AGGAUAAACGCUGGCGGCGUGCAUGAGACAUGCAAGUCGAACGGACGAUCAGGGCUUGCUCUGAUCGUUAGUGGCGGACGGCUGAGUAACGCGUAGGUGACCUGCCCCGAAGUGGGGAAUAACUGCCCGAAAGGGUGGCUAAUACCGCAUGUGGUGGUGUGUUCAUUCACACCAGUAAAGCCGCAAGGCGCUUCGGGAGGGGCCUGCGUCCGAUUAGCUCGUUGGUGGGUAACGGCUCACCAAGGCGACGAUCGGUAGGUGGUCUGAGAGGACGAUCACCCAGACUGGGACUGAGACACGGCCCAGACUCCUACGGGAGGCAGCAGUCGGGAAUUUUGCGCAAUGGACGAAAGUCUGACGCAGCAACGCCGCGUGAGGGAUGAAGGCCUUCGGGUUGUAAACCUCUUUAUCAGGGAAGAUAAUGACGGUACCUGAUGAAUAAGUCACGGCUAACUACGUGCCAGCAGCCGC
rnacentral:rRNA from 1 species